AAGCUGCCUGAGGUUGGGUUAUGUGAGUCUUUUCUAUGCAAUCCAGAAAACAUUUUCACUGUGUAUUUUAUAAACAUGGUUUCUGGUUUGCAUAGAUUUGCAUGUUUAUCCCAAGGCCCCCAAAUUCCAACUGCUUUAUGUAAAAUAAGUAAGAUCAAGUGGGGCCAUUGAUGGCAAAUAUAUAUUCUAAUCAAGACCUCCUGGAGUUGUAGCCUUUUUCCAGGGGUUAGAGGAAUUCCUUCGACAGCUUCUCCUUCAAGCCCAGGGCACCAUUACUCAUUGCAGGAAGGGUCCUGGAAUGGCCACGCCUUGACCUCACAGGUCAUCACAAAGCUUUAAUAACCACAGUGGCUCCUUCCACUUACUGAAACCACGUUCUCUCUGUUGUAUGUAUUCUUAAAUUUUAUGGAUUCCAAAAAAUAGGUAUUUCUGUGACAAAAAGGCAGGUUAUGAAAGGGAACGUGAAAUACUGAAUCCUAGUCUGAAAAGCCAUACCCUCUCUUUCUGUACUCUGCUGUUGUUGGUCUUUUAACGGGUGGGGAAAAAGACCCUGAACAGUGGCAAGAAGACCUCAGGAUUCUUAAAAGGAGAUCUGCUCUGGAGUGGGCUUCUUAAUAAGUCCCCUUCAAAACGAAAUUUUCUUGAAAUUAUUUUCCUAGCAUUCUGGAAUUAUACUCUACUAGUCAAUGGUUCACCCACCAAAAGGGACUCAGUAUGCCCUAUGCUAUAUUCCAUCUGUUUCACUGCCUCCUAAAGGAAUGCCUGACAAGAAAUUAGGUAUCCUUGUGCUGCUGAUGGGUUCCUCCUUUCUGGAGAGGUGGUGAUAUCGUGAUUUUUAAAAAGCAGCUGCUCAUCUGAAUUACUACCUUCUUUCAACAAAAACAAAGUUGGUUUUCUAAUGAACUACAACCUCAUUUAUCGGAAUCAGAACUUCUGAAUCACCCCAGUGAUGUGACCCUUUAAAAACUUCAGGAGGUUUGCAAAGUAUUUCAGCUUCAAGGCUCCCAGAAAUGCCUGGACAUGAGCCAGAGAUGAAGCAGACGCUUCUGAGCACAGUUGGUUUAACGAAGGAGUGAAUGUACAACAUUCAAACUAGGACCAACUGCCGUGGGUGUUUAUUUGAGACUUCUUCCAGAAUCACACCCACAGAUCUCGCCUGCCUAAUCAGAAUGACAUAAGUCACAGGCUGUUGCUGCCUUGUUUGUGAUUGAAAUCAGAUAACACCUUGAGAGAGGACUGAGGUCACUGGCGGUCAGCACUGGAGAGCAGAUCAUAUUUUAUUGAUUAGGAACAACUGAUUUGUCAUAGGGAAGACUUAAUAAUGCCACAGAUGAUACCAAUGAGGAAGGAGCUCAUACUGUAUCUUCAGAGGGAAUGGAGCCAAGCCACUGAGAAAUCCGCCAUGUUGAAUUAGGCUAUGUCACAUCCAAGAGGUUGUGGAAAAGCCAAAACACAUUUUGCUGAACAAACACCAUCAUAAGUUAUUAUAGUGUACAGAUUUCUUUUAGGUUGUAUGGCACUUAAAAGGCUAAUGUAUGACUGGGAGCAAUGCAAA